CACCGGUGGCGAAAGCGGCUUUCUGGACGACAACUGACACUGAGGCACGAAAGCGUGGGGAGCAAACGGGGAUUAGAUACCCUGGUAGUCCACGCCGUAAACGAUGGAUACUAGGUGUAGGGGGUAUCGACUCCCUCUGUACCGAAGCAACGCAUUAAGUAUCCCGCCUGANUAGUACNGUCGCAANGCU
rnacentral:rRNA from 1 species